GACGUAGGGGACGAGCGUUGUCCGGAUUCAUUGGGCGUAAAGCGCGCGUAGGCGGCCACCGCAAGUCGACUGUGAAAUCUCCGGGCUUAACCCGGAAAGGUCAGCCGAUACUGCGGGGCUAGAGUGCAGAAGGGGGCAACUGGAAUUCUCGGUGUAGCGGUGAAAUGCGUAGAUAUCGAGAGGAACACCUGCGGCGAAGGCGGGUUGCUGGGCUGACACUGACGCUGAAGCGCGAAAGCUAGGGAGCGAACGGG
rnacentral:rRNA from 1 species